rnacentral:rRNA from 1 species
CCUACGGGAGGCAGCAGUGAGGAAUAUUGGUCAAUGGCCGGAAGGCUGAACCAGCCAUGCCGCGUGAAGGUCAGUGCCCUAUGGGCGUUAAACUUCUUUUGUGCGGGAGCAAUAAUGGUCACGUGUGGCCAGACGAGAGUACCGUACGAAUAAGCAGCGGCGAACUCCGUGCCAGCAGCCGCGGUAAUACGGGGGAUGCAAGCGUUAUCCGGAUUUAGUGGGUUUAAAGGGUGCGUAGGCGGUGGGGUACGUCAGCGGUGCAAUGCCCCCGCUCACCGGGGUGAAGUGCCAUUGAUACUGCCGUGCUGGAGUGCGGAUGCCGUGGCACGCGUGUGUGGUGUAGCGGUGAAAUGCAUAGAUAUCACACAGAACACCGAUUGCGCAGGCAUCUCACGAAUCCGCGAUUGACGCUGAUGCACGACCGCGUGGGUAUCAAACAGGAUUAGAUACCCUAGUAGUC